AUGCUAGAGAGGGAUGGCCGAAUGGUGGUAAAAGAUUAUGAUGGCCAGCCCGUCUGGGAAAAUGGUGUGAACACUUCAUCAAAUGCCGAACAAGCUCAGUUGUUGGACACAGGAAAUCUCAUCGUGAAGGGCCAAGGUGAUAUAGUUCUAUGGCAAAGCUUUGAUUCUCCUACUGAUACAUUGCUACCCAAUCAGAAUAUAACUGCUGGUUCAAGGUUGGAAUCUAGUAAUAGGCUACUUGUUCCUGGGCACUACAGCUUCCAUUUUGAUGAUGAGCUUUUACUUACACUGUUUGAUGAUCAGAAGGGUGUCUCUUUUAUCUAUUGGCCAAACCCUUUCAUUAAUAUCUGGACAAAGCAAAGACACUCAUUUAAUACCACCACAAUUGGGGUCCUUGAUAGCUGGGGUUUUUUCCUUGGAAGUGAUAAUUUAACUAUAAAGGCUGCUGAUUGGGGUCUCAGGGUUAUGCGAAGGCUAACACUGGAUUAUGAUGGCAACCUUAGAUUAUACAGUCUAAAUAAGCCAAAUGGAAGAUGGUCGGUCACAUGGAUGGCAUUUCCGCAGACCUGCUUUGUACGUGGUUUGUGUGGUAUGAAUGGGAUAUGUGUGUAUACACCUAGGCCUGCUUGUGCAUGUGCCCCUGGACAUGAGAUCAUCGACCCAAGUGACCGGAGCAAAGGUUGCAAGCCAAAGUUCAACCUCAGUUGUGGUGGGCAUGGGCAGGAGAUGUACUUUUUGAAGCUACCUUCCACGGACUUUCUAGGCUAUGAUCGUAAGAUUGAGUCAGUUUCUCUUCCUGCUUGCAAGCGGAUAUGCUUGAGUGACUGCACAUGCAAUGGUUUCUCAUACUGGCAAGGAGAUGGAAGCUGUUACCCAAAGUCAUCCCUUGUUGGUGGUGUAGCCAACCCACAAUUACCUGGUUCUAUCUAUCUCAAGCUUCCCAAGACAUUGCAAGUCUCAAAGUCCUCGAUUCCUCACUCGCAACCUUCUGGCCCUAGAUAUGGUCCUAACUGUAGUGCAAAGAACAAAUAUGUCACUGUAGAUUUUCUGGAUAAGCGUAAGAGCAGUCAGAGUGGAUCACAGUAUUCGUAUUUCUACGGAUUCUUAUCAGCGAUAUUUUGUGUCGAGGUGAUAUUUGUAGCAUUAGGAUGCUGGUUUAUUUUGAUAAGGGAGCACAGGCAGUUAACAGGAGUAUGGCCGGCUGAGGUUGGCUAUGAAAUGAUAACUAAUCAUUUCCGCAGAUACACUUACAAUGAGUUGCGGAGAGCUACUCGGGAGUUCAAGGAUCUGAUUGGGAGGGGGGCAUCUGGUCUCGUAUACAAGGGAAUCUUGAAAGACAGGAGGGCAGUAGCUGUGAAAAGGUUGGCAGAGAUAAACCAAGGUGAAGAAGAAUUCCAGCAUGAACUGAGUGUGAUUGGAAAGAUUUACCAUAUGAAUCUGGUGAGGGUUUGGGGAUUCUGUUCUGAUGGACCACACAGGAUGUUGGUUUUAGAGUAUGUUGAGAAUGGAUCGUUGGAUAAAAUACUGUUUAGCAGAGACUCACAGAUAUUACUUGAAUGGAAUAAAAGAUUUCAGAUUGCUCUAGGAGUGGCAAAAGGAUUGGCCUACCUUCAUCACGAGUGCUUGGAGUGGGUUAUCCACUGUGACCUGAAGCCAGAGAACAUACUGUUGGAUGAGAACUUAGAGCCAAAGAUCACCGACUUUGGUCUUGCAAAACUUCUAAAUAGAGGCGGGUCAAAUAAAAAUGUAUCGCGGAUCCAUGGAACUAGAGGUUAUAUAGCUCCUGAGUGGGUUUCUGGACUCCCAAUAACAGCAAAGGUUGAUGUCUACAGCUUCGGAGUGGUUCUCCUAGAGCUACUCAAGGGGGCUCGUGUUUCAGACUGGGCACCAAAUGAAGACGAGGAACUGGAGAUGGUCCUUCGAAGGGUCAUUAAGAUGCUUGCAGAAAAUCUGAUGUUGGAGGGCAGCGAACAGUUAUGGAUCGCUGACUUCAUUGACUCCAGAUUGAACAGGCAGUUCAAUAACUUGCAAGCAAAAAUGAUGGUCAAGUUGGCUGUUUCAUGCGUAGAAAAAGAUAGUAGGAAAAGGCCUACCAUGGAAAAUGUUGUGCAGAUGCUUGUUUCGGUAGAUGAGGACAGUAAACCAGCUAAAUAA
rnacentral:rRNA from 1 species